rnacentral:rRNA from 1 species
GAUGAACGCUAGCUAUAGGCUUAACACAUGCAAGUCGAGGGGAAACGGCAUCGAAAGCUUGCUUUUGAUGGGCGUCGACCGGCGCACGGGUGAGUAACGCGUAUCCAACCUGCCCAUCACUUGGGAAUAACCUUGCGAAAGUAAGACUAAUGCCCAAUGACAUCCCACGAAGGCAUCCGAAUGGGAUUAAAGAUUUAUCGGUGAUGGAUGGGGAUGCGUCUGAUUAGCUUGUUGGCGGGGUGACGGCCCACCAAGGCAACGAUCAGUAGGGGUUCUGAGAGGAAGGUCCCCCACAUUGGAACUGAGACACGGUCCAAACUCCUACGGGAGGCAGCAGUGAGGAAUAUUGGUCAAUGGGCGAGAGCCUGAACCAGCCAAGUAGCGUGCAGGAUGACGGCCCUAUGGGUUGUAAACUGCUUUUAUAAGGGAAUAAAGUGGGUCACGUGUGACUUUUUGCAUGUACCUUAUGAAUAAGGACCGGCUAAUUCCGUG